GACGAACGCUGGCGGCGUGCUUAACACAUGCAAGUCGAGCGGUAAGGCCCUUUCGGGGGUACACGAGCGGCGAACGGGUGAGUAACACGUGGGUGACCUGCCCUCAGCUCUGGGAUAAGCCUGGGAAACUGGGUCUAAUACUGGAUAUGACUCCACGGUGCAUGUCGUGGGGUGGAAAGCCUUGUGCGGCUGAGGAUGGGCCCGCGGCCUAUCAGCUUGUUGGUGGGGUGAUGGCCUACCAAGGCGACGACGGGUAGCCGGCCUGAGAGGGCGACCGGCCACACUGGGACUGAGACACGGCCCAGACUCCUACGGGAGGCAGCAGUGGGGAAUCUUGCGCAAUGGGCGAAAGCCUGACGCAGCGACGCCGCGUGAGGGAUGAC
rnacentral:rRNA from 1 species